rnacentral:tRNA from 1 species
AAGGGUAUAGCUCAGUGGUAGAGUGUGUGCUUAGCAUGCAUGGGGUCCUGGGCUCAAUCCCCAGUCCCUCCA